UACGAAGGGGGCUAGCGUUGCUCGGAAUCACUGGGCGUAAAGGGCGCGUAGGCGGCUAAUUUAGUCGAGGGUGAAAGCCUGUGGCUCAACCACAGAAUUGCCUUCGAUACUGGUUGGCUUGAGACCGGAAGAGGACAGCGGAACUGCGAGUGUAGAGGUGAAAUUCGUAGAUAUUCGCAAGAACACCAGUGGCGAAGGCGGCUGUCUGGUCCGGUUCUGACGCUGAGGCGCGAAAGCGUGGGGAGCAAACAGG
rnacentral:rRNA from 1 species